UGGGGAAUAUUGGACAAUGGGCGAAAGCCUGAUCCAGCCAUGCCGCGUUUGUGAAGAAGGUCUUCGGAUUGUAAAGCACUUUAAGUUGGGAGGAAGGGCAGUAAGCGAAUACCUUGCUGUUUUGACGUUACCGACAGAAUAAGCACCGGCUAACUCUGUGCAAGCAGCCGCGGUAAUACAGAGGGUGCAAGCGUUAAUCGGAAUUACUGGGCGUAAAGCGCGCGUAGGUGGUUCGUUAAGUUGAAUGUGAAAGCCCCGGGCUCAAUCUGGGAACUGCAUCCAAAACUGGCGAGCUAGAGUAGGGCAGAGGGUGGUGGAAUUUCCUGUGUAGCGGUGAAAUGCGUAGAUAUAGGAAGGAACACCAGUGGCGAAGGCGACCACCUGGGCUCAUACUGACACUGAGGUGCGAAAGCGUGGGGAGCAAACAGG
rnacentral:rRNA from 1 species